GAUGAACGCUAGUGACAGGCUUAACACAUGCAAGUCGAGGGGCAGCACGGGAGUAGCAAUACAACUGGUGGCGACCGGCGCACGGGUGAGUAACGCGUAUGCAACCUACCUAUCAGAGGGGAAUAACCCGGCGAAAGUCGGACUAAUACCGCAUAAAACAGGGGCACCGCAUGGUGAUAUUUGUUAAAGAAAUUCGCUGAUAGAUGGGCAUGCGUUCCAUUAGGUAGUUGGUGAGGUAACGGCUCACCAAGCCGACGAUGGAUAGGGGAACUGAGAGGUUGGUCCCCCACACUGGUACUGAGACACGGACCAGACUCCUACGGGAGGCAGCAGUGAGGAAUAUUGGUCAAUGGGCGAGAGCCUGAACCAGCCAAGUCGCGUGAAGGAAGAAGGAUCUAUGGUUCGUAAACUUCUUUUGCAGGGGAAUAAAGUGCAGGACGUGUCCUGUUUUGUAUGUACCCUGAGAAUAAGGAUCGGCUAACUCCGUGCCAGCAGCCGCGGUAAUAC
rnacentral:rRNA from 1 species